rnacentral:rRNA from 1 species
GGUUAAGCGACUAAGCGUACACGGUGGAUGCCCUGGCAGUCAGAGGCGAUGAAGGACGUGCUAAUCUGCGAUAAGCGUCGGUAAGGUGAUAUGAACCGUUAUAACCGGCGAUUUCCGAAUGGGGAAACCCAGUGCAAUUCGUUGCACUAUCGUUAAGUGAAUACAUAGCUUAACGAAGC